rnacentral:rRNA from 1 species
AAUACAACUUUCAGCAACGGAUCUCUUGGCUCUCGCAUCGAUGAAGAACGCAGCGAAAUGCGAUAAGUAAUGUGAAUUGCAGAAUUCAGUGAAUCAUCGAAUCUUUGAACGCACCUUGCGCUCCUUGGAGAACAGAAGGAGAAGA